CACACUGGAACUGAGACACGGUCCAGACUCCUACGGGAGGCAGCAGUGGGGAAUCUUGCGCAAUGGGCGAAAGCCUGACGCAGCAACGCCGCGUGAGGGACGAAGGCUUUCUGAGUUGUAAACCUCUUUCGACAGGAACGAUUGUGACGGUACCUGUAGAAGAAGCACCGGCCAACUAUGUGCCAGCCGCCGCCGUAAUAC
rnacentral:rRNA from 1 species